AGCUAGUUGGUAAGGUAAUGGCUUACCAAGGCUAUGACACCUAGCCGGCCUGAGAGGGUGAUCGGCCACAACGGGACUGAGACACGGCCCGUACUCCUACGGGAGGCAGCAGUGAGGAAUCUUGGACAAUGGACGAAAGUCUGAUCCAGCCAUCCUGCGUGAAGGAAGAAGCCCUUUGGGGUGUAAACUUCUUUUCUGGGGGAAGACGAAUGACGGUACCUCAGGAAUAAGGGGCGGCUAACUACGUGCCAGCAGCCGCGGUAAUACGUAGGCCUCGAACGUUAUCCGGAGUUACUGGGCGUAAAGGGUCCGUAGCCGGUUGUAUAAGUCUAUCUUCAAAGACUGAAGCUUAACUUCAGGAAGGGGAUAGAUACUGUACGACUAGAGAUACUGAAGGGUUAGUGGAAUUCCCGGUGGAGCGGUGGAAUGCGUUGAUAUUGGGAGGAACGCCGAAAGUGGAGACAGCUAACUGGUGGUAAUCUGACGGUGAUGGACGAAAGCAUAGGUAGCAAACAGGAUUAGAUACCCUGGUAGUCUAUGCUGUAAACGAUGUGAGCUAGGCGUUGGUCUGUUGAUCAGUGCUGAACCAAACGGGAUAAGCUCACCGCCUGGGGAGUAUAGCCGCAAGGCCGAAACUCAAAAGGAUAGGCGGGGGAACACACAAGCAGUGGAUCGUCUCGAUUAAUUGGAUAAUAAGCCAAGAAUCUUACCCGGGCUUGACAUGCUAGGGAACCCUGCCGAAAGGUGGGGGUGCCCCGUAAGGGGAGCCCUAGCACAGGUGCUGCAUGGCCGUCGUCAGCUCGUGCCGCAAGGUGUCCGGUUAAUUCCGGUAACGAGCGCAACCCUUGCCCCUAGUUAGAGAUGUCUAGGGGGACUGCCGGGGUAACCCGGAGGAAGGGGAGGACGACGUCAGGUCAUCAUGGCCCUUAUGUCCGGGGCAUCAGAGGCGAUACAAUGGGGUGUACAAACCGAAGCGAAGCCGCGAGGUGGAGCGAAUCGGAGAAAGCACCUCUAAGUACGGAUUGUAGUCUGGAACUGACUACAUGAAGUUGGAAUUGCUAGUAAUGGUGGGUCAGAACACCACCGUGAAUAUGUCCCUGUUCCUUGCACUCACCGCCCGUCACACCAUGGGAGUUGGUUUACUCUGAAGAUUCUGAAUAGGGGUUAAGGAGAAAAUUGACGACUGGGGUGAAGUCGUAACAAGGUAUCCCGACGAGAACGUCGGGAUG
rnacentral:rRNA from 1 species